CCUACGGGAGGCUGCAGUGAGGAAUAUUGGUCAAUGGGCGCGAGCCUGAACCAGCCAAGUAGCGUGAAGGAUGAAUGCCCUACGGGUUGUAAACUUCUUUUAUAAAGGAAUAAAGUGAGGCACGUGUGCCUUGUUGUAUGUAAUUUAUGAAUAAGGAUCGGCUAACUCCGUGCCAGCAGCCGCGGUAAUACGGAGGAUGCGAGCGUUCUCCGGAUUUAUUGGGUUUAAAGGGAGCGUAGAUGGGUUGUUAAGUCAGUUGUGAAAGUUUGAGGCUCAACCGUAAAAUUGCAAUUGAUACUGGCAGCCUUGAGUACAGUUGAGGUAGGCGGAAUGCGUGGUGUAGCGGUGAAAUGCUUAGAUAUCACGCAGAACUCCGAUUGCGAAGGCAGCUUACUAAACUGUGACUGACAUUGAUGCUCGAAAGUGUGGGUAUCAAACAGGAUUAGAUACCCUAGUAGUC
rnacentral:rRNA from 1 species